UACGGGGGGAGCAAGCGUUGUUCGGAUUUACUGGGCGUAAAGGGCGCGUAGGCGGCGCAACAAGUCACUUGUGAAAUCUCCGGGCUUAACCCGGAGCGGUCAAGUGAUACUGUCGUGCUAGAGUGCAGAAGGGGCAACUGGAAUUCUCGGUGUAGCGGUGAAAUGCGUAGAUAUCGAGAGGAACACCUGCGGCGAAGGCGGGUUGCUGGGCUGACACUGACGCUGAUGCGCGAAAGCCAGGGGAGCGAACGGG
rnacentral:rRNA from 1 species